rnacentral:sRNA from 1 species
AAUCGGGACCUGACGUGAGCAGGGGUCAGACGUUAGCCUGGCAUCGGCUGGUGGGUCAAUGUGGAUGGCGGGGGCGGGGUAUGAGCUAGUCCUCUGUCUCCCACCAGAUGUGCUGUGAUCACCGAGUUUGCUCGCAUUCAGCUUGGGGCCAAAGGAAUCCAGAGAAGGCCUGCAUGUGCUGGAAGGCCUGGCAGCUUCGGGCCUACGUUCCAUUCGAUUUGCCCUAGAGGUGCCUGGGCUCAGAUCUGUGGUUGCAAACGAUGCCUCUGCCCGGGCUGUGGAUCUCAUACGCCAGAAUGUCCAGCUCAAUGACGUGGCCCACCUGGUACAGCCGAGCCAAGCAGAUGCCCGGAUGCUGAUGUACCAGCACCAGAGGGUGUCGGAGAGGUUUGACGUCAUCGAUCUGGA